AGGUCCCAAACCAGGAGCUCUUAACACUAUGAUCAAAGACUGAAGUUCUCCAUAGAAUAACACAGUCACUCAAUAGUGCUUUGUUUUUUUCCUGACAGAGAUAAGA
rnacentral:snoRNA from 1 species